rnacentral:rRNA from 1 species
GUAGGUGGCAAGCGUUGUCCGGAAUUAUUGGGCGUAAAGCGCGCGCAGGCGGUUCCUUAAGUCUGAUGUGAAAGCCCCCGGCUCAACCGGGGAAGGUCAUUGGAAACUGGGGAACUUGAGUGCAGAAGAGAAGAGCGGAAUUCCACGUGUAGCGGUGAAAUGCGUAGAGAUGUGGAGGAACACCAGUGGCGAAGGCGGCUCUUUGGUCUGUAACUGACGCUGAGGCGCGAAAGCGUGGGGAGCAAACAGGAUUAGAUACCCUGGUAGUCCACGCUGUAAACGAUGAGUGCUAAGUGUUAGAGGGUUUCCGCCCUUUAGUGCUGCAGCUAACGCAUUAAGCACUCCGCCUGGGGAGUACGGCCGCAAGGCUG